rnacentral:rRNA from 1 species
UACGUAGGGCGCAAGCGUUGUCCGGAAUUAUUGGGCGUAAAGAGCUCGUAGGCGGUUUGUCGCGUCUGCUGUGAAAACCCGAGGCUCAACCUCGGGCCUGCAGUGGGUACGGGCAGACUAGAGUGCGGUAGGGGAGAUUGGAAUUCCUGGUGUAGCGGUGGAAUGCGCAGAUAUCAGGAGGAACACCAAUGGCGAAGGCAGAUCUCUGGGCCGUAACUGACGCUGAGGAGCGAAAGCGUGGGGAGCAAACAGG